rnacentral:tRNA from 1 species
UCAGCGGUAGAGUCCCAGCUUCCCAAGCUGGUUGUCGCGGGUUCAAAUCCCGUCGCCCGCUCCA